CCAAUGGUCAACUAGGGUUCCGGUCUGCCACCAAUCCAGGCAGAUGGCUGGUCCGAGAGUUGACGACCUUUUCCAAGGUUACACGGCGGGACAAAAGCCCGGGAGGA
rnacentral:sRNA from 2 species